rnacentral:lncRNA from 1 species
AUUGAUUCAACAUCUUUUCAAUAUCACAGAAUUGUUACAUAACAGAAUGACCAUCAACCAUUUGAUAAUUAUUGAAACGACUGACAGUAAAUUUCUUACUUGUAACAUCUUCGGUCAUGUAUUUUGUCUCUAAUUUGUCCCAUAAUUCUUUAGCAGUGACCUCGUUUUGGUAGGUGUUGAACAAACCAUUAGAUAAACCAUUCAAUAUGUGACUCAUGCACAUAUAAUCAGCAUUGUCUCAUUUUUGUCUUUCUCGGGUUGCAGCAACAGAUUCGUGAUCAUUCUCUUCAAGUCUUAGAGUAUCCAAAACAUAAGCAAUCUUCAAAGUUGAUAAUAAGAAGUGCAUCUUUUUCUGCCAUUGUCGAAAAUUGCCACCAUCAAACCGAUCAAGUUUGACAAAGUUGGAAGCCAACUCCCUUAGUGUUCCACUUUCAUGUGCUGUGGUGGUCAUCAUGAAUUAUAUAACCUUAAAAUUGUUAGUACAAAUCUCCAGUGAAGAAAAUCUCAAACACAUGAACGGAACUCGAAAAGAAAAAGAAGAAAUAGGACAAGGCUCCAAGGCAAGUAUCAAGUCACUAUCUUUAAGGUUAUAUUCACCCCCACCUAUUUUCGGUGUGUAAAUGAGUUCCAAGCAAAUUCACCUCGAGGAUACAAUGAAGCCAAUUACUAUUAGUGUUUUGCACUGACAAGAAUAGCCCACUACACACUGAGCAAUGUAUGACAAAAAACUCAAUUUCUAUAAAGGAUUUCUGUAGUAAUACUUUAUAGAAUAAUCUAAUAAUAUUAGAAAAUGAAGGAAGGAAAGAA